UGCCCAGCUGCAGGCUCCGCAUGGCCUCUAGAUGUCCCUCCUCCUCCUCGCAUAGCCCCAGCAGCAGGCAGUGCAAGAAAUGCAGCUCCAGCACAUCCCACUUCUUCAAGGAAUAGACCCUGGGCGUGUCACCCCAGCAGGUACCAGAAACUUCUGACUGAAAAAGGUGAGGUAAAGUAAUCCUCAGGCAUUAUCCUCUCCUGCUUUGCUCAGAUGAGGUGAGAUGGGCUCCUCAGCAGACAACAGGGACAGUAUUUUCUCCUGCUGGAAGUGAUGCUGUGCUUCUGUCAUCCCUUCCUUCCAAGGGAGGGAGCACAGAGCAGGUCCUGCCUUCUCCAGAGAGGGAUAACUGGGGGUGCUGGGGCAGGGUGAUCUGGGGGUGCCCCAGUGCAUGGAGCCCACGUGCCAGCGUGGAGAACAGCACGGGGAAGUGCUCAGCAUCUGCAGGCGAAGCACCCAUGCUCAGAGGGUGGGUGGGUCUGGGUGAGUCUCCUCUUUCUGGGAGAACAAAGGGGGUUUCACAUACUAUGCAAUUAAAUUCUGAAAAGACUGUUCCAUCCUUUCAGUUUCUGCUUUAUCCUCACGGAUAAAGAACUGGGCAUCCCACAAAAACCACUGCAGGGAGUGCUGGGGUUUCCUGAGGUUUCCACAUGGGAAGUCUGUGGGUUCCUCAGUCUCUUGACUUUGUACCAGUAGCUUUAAGGGGCAGAUACUGUUGCUUUUGAAGUGUAUCAGGACACAUUUUUUGGGAAGAUCACCCCUUACAUGAUCCCUGGGAAAUGCACUGAUAGCCCAGUUCCAUGAAGGGACAAACAUCCAUUUCUCAAAAGCUGCCAUAACUUGUGUUGCCAAUCUGGUAUUGUUUAGAGUUGGGAUUUAUUUAUUUAGGGAUAGUAUCAAACACAGGUGUUGCUGUGCAGUAUCAGCCCAGACUUGUCCUCAAAUACAACAUUUGUCCUUAAAUAGAGCACCUGUGUUUGUGUCUCUAGACGUGUUUGGUUUUGGGAGGGCUGUCCAGAGGCCAUCCUUGAGGACAGCCAGUAAAGACUAAUUCCAGAAACACACAGGUCAGAUGAUAAAUGCAGUGCAGAAAGGUCUCUUACCUCUUUCCUGUCCCAAAUCACACCCAGGCACAUCUUCUGCCAGUUCUGGGCAGAACUUCUGCCCAGUUCACCCACGAGGUGAAGGGUUCCUGCUGCCAACAUAUGAUUUCCAUGAUCCCUGCUAAUGUACCAUCCAGGUUUGGAACUUUUUAAGGAGGCCAAAGGGGUUGAUUAUUGUAUUUCCUUCCUGUUUCAGUCAAUUUAUUCCUGUCCUGACUUUGCACUCCACACAGAUAAGCACAAAUCUGUGUAUCCACAAGUUAGUUAGGAAGAAACAAGUGCCCAGUGGAUACUCCACCAUCCUGAAAAAAUCAAAGAAAUUAUCAAUUUUAUAUAUAUAUCUCAUAUAUAGAUAUAUAUAUAUAAGACAGAUAAAAAUAUAUAUGCAUGGAGUUUCUGAAAACAGUUAAUUUUGUAUAGUUUUGAUGAAAAUCAAAUUGUUCAAACUGAAUAGAAAAGCUUUAUAGAAGAAACAUUGUUUGCCAUAAAAAUGUUUUAGGUGUGUGUGGUUUGAAUUGGAAAGUAAAGGGUUUCAGGAUCUUGUAUUAUCUCACUACAGAUUUUUUGGAUAAACCCCUCUUGGAGGCUUUCUAAGUGCAAUUGUGGUUUGGGGGAAGGCUGAGGGGCUGAGAACUGGAUGAGGCAGAAAAAGCUGCAUCCCUUUCCAUGCUGGGAGUGAUGCUUCCAGUCCAAGACUGUGGAAUCCUUGUGCCAUUGCUGGCUGCUCUGGCUCAUUUCUGGGGUGGAGGGUCUCUAGGGUUUGUUCCCUUUGGAGUUUUUUCUAGCAGUAAUCUCCUCUUGGAAGAGCUGUACUAACUGCAAACAAAGGCUGGGAUUUUUCACAGCAGCCUUGGAAGGCUGAGAAUCUCAGUCAUUCAAACUAGUUAGAAGUGAGCAUCCAGAUCUGCUAGGCAGCUUGGUAAAUUUUGGUCAAAUAGCACAAAAAAAUUAAGUUUCCUAGCCUUAUGUCUGUGUCCAAGCAGCUGGUGUGCACACACAGCUCUCUGAUCAGUUUGUCUCACUUUGGUUUUGUUACCUUUUUAUUUUCUCUCCACAUUUUGUCCCUUUUCUCAUAAUGUAAUUUUAGUAUGGUAAACCCUGUUCUUUCAAACAGCAAUGCUCUUCCUGUGUGUCUGGAGAGUGCCUAAUUCACUUGAAAGAUGAAUAUGCAGUAUAAUAAACCAAAUAUACUCUGACUAAAAGCACCACUAUUAUUGGUGAUUGAUUGAUUGAUUAUGAUUGAUUUUCCCAGUGCAGUUUUGUAGGACACCUUGUCAAAGAUCACAGCUAGUGUUUAAAUGAUCACUGUUCACUUGAGGAUUGCUGCUGAGGAAGACUUUUCUUGCCAUAUAGUCCAAAUACUGAUUUAAACAAUCUAUUCUCUCAGACCCACUCAGCUUCCAGUCAGUUAAAUGAAGUGUGGAGUUCUGGCAUGGAUGCUGCCCAGUUUAGUGCCUUUAAGGCAUCCCAGUGAGGUUACUAGAAAUCACUUCAGUGCAAUUUAUUUUUGCUGCCUUUUUUAGGGUGUUAUCAACUAUAAAAACUGACAGACUCAAGGAGAGAAGUGUGUACACUGUUGUGAUACAGGAACGAUUUUCCCAGAGAAAUUCUGGUUUAUCACACAAGCCUGUAAAUAUGUAUUUACAAUUUUAAAAGCAUGUCUUUAUGUCCCUGAUUGUAAAUGCUCUGUUUUUAAAGUUUUAUAACAUGUGACUCAACCAAGAGACCACAGCACACAGCUUUAUAUUGUACUGGUCUGUUUGAAGGGUCCAUUACAGUCUAAGCUCUAGCAGAAAAAUAUCCAUGCCACCAACAAGAAAUAACCCAUGGUUGCUACAGACUUCAGCAUUUUUCCUCAGAUAAAAAAUGCAGUUUUUCUGGGAGGGGGGUGGAGGGGAAUGAUUUUUCUUGCAGAAAAAAAGCAUCAGUUCAACAGGAUGGAGAUUUCAUUCACAGUGAAUUCACGAAAAGUAUGCCAUCUUUUCUCAAGGCAGAAUUUCACAGUUUUGCAGCAAAUUUUUAACCUCCCCCAUGCCUGCUGAUGAAAUGUGAAAUUUUGCCCUUGACCAAUACCACAAGUUCUUGUGAAAAUUCAAGGAGAGGGUGGGGAAAAAACUCAGGUUUUGCAUGUAGAAUUUGCAAGGACAACACUGGCAGCUCUGCAGUGCUCUCAUGGCAAUGCUGAUACUGAGAAGUUUAUUAAAAAUAAACUGUGUGGAGAUGUGCUGGAGCCUGGUUUGUGUUUGGGCUCUGAAUUGCUGUGGAAGACUGAAAACUCUGUUGUCUGCCUGCUAUGUAAAGAAAGAGAACAACAAUAGAUUCAUGUGGAAAAGCC